GGAGCCUUAGCUCAAUUGGUUAGAGCGCCGCCCUGUCACGGCGGAGGUUGCGGGUUCGAGCCCCGUAGGCUCCGCCA
rnacentral:tRNA from 1 species